rnacentral:rRNA from 1 species
UACGGAGGGUGCAAGCGUUAUCCGGAUUCACUGGGUUUAAAGGGUGCGUAGGAGGGCAGGUAAGUCAGUGGUGAAAUCCCCAAGCUUAACUUGGGAACUGCCGUUGAUACUAUCUGUCUUGAAUACCGUGGAGGUGAGCGGAAUAUGUCAUGUAGCGGUGAAAUGCUUAGAUAUGACAUAGAACACCAAUUGCGAAGGCAGUUCGCUACACGAAUAUUGACUCUGAGGCACGAAAGCGUGGGGAUCAAACAGGA